rnacentral:rRNA from 1 species
UACGGAGGGUGCAAGCGUUGUCCGGAUUUAUUGGGCGUAAAGGGUGCGUAGGCGGCGCGGUAAGUCGGGUGUGAAAUUUCGAGGCUUAACUUCGAAACUGCAUUCGAUACUGCCGUGCUUGAGGACUGGAGAGGAGACUGGAAUUUACGGUGUAGCGGUGAAAUGCGUAGAUAUCGUAAGGAAGACCAGUGGAAGGCGGGUCUCUGGACAGUUCCUGACGCUGAGGCACGAAGGCCAGGGGAGCAAACGGG